CUGCAGAAACCUCUUUCAUGGUGGCAGCCAGUGUGAUGAGGUGACAGUGGUUUGUGUGCUGGGCCAACACCAACUCACUGAGGAGAAGCGCUUGUCCCUAAGCUGGACGCUAUAGCUACACUGCAUUCCUCCUCUUGUGCUGUACCAUGUUUCUCUGCUCAUUACCUGCACUAGUCUUGCUUCUCCAUCGUGGAGGUGGCUGCAGGUGACCCCGAGAGCCUGAGCCCUUACUCCCCUAGCAAGCAACAGUGGGAUUGGAGCAUUGACAGGCAGACCAUGGACUCAAUUUAUGGUGCUCUUUAGCACACACACCUACAGCAGUUUCCAGCAGACCAUGGUGCUCAGCUUUGGAUCUGAGCCAGUACUCUUUCAGACAGUCAAGGCAGAGCUGGUUGCAUCCAAAGGUUCCACCUCCAAACCUGCCCAUGCUUGUUGAUGGAUCCCUCUGUGCGAGCUCCAGAGCAUUGUGAAGAAACCCCCAGACACUGUGAAACCCCUCCUGCCAGGCCAGCUCUUCGCUCAGAUGAUUCUUCGGGAGUCCGGGAUGCUACC